UGGGGAAUAUUGCACAAUGGGCGAAAGCCUGAUGCAGCAACGCCGCGUGAGGGAUGACGGCCUUCGGGUUGUAAACCUCUUUUAGUAGGGAAGAAGGGAGCUUGCUCUUGACGGUACCUGCAGAAAAAGCACCGGCUAACUACGUGCCAGCAGCCGCGGUAAUACGUAGGGUGCAAGCGUUGUCCGGAAUUAUUGGGCGUAAAGAGCUCGUAGGCGGUUUGUCGCGUCUGCUGUGAAAUCCCGAGGCUCAACCUCGGGCUUGCAGUGGGUACGGGCAGACUAGAGUGCGGUAGGGGAGAUUGGAAUUCCUGGUGUAGCGGUGGAAUGCGCAGAUAUCAGGAGGAACACCGAUGGCGAAGGCAGAUCUCUGGGCCGUAACUGACGCUGAGGAGCGAAAGCGUGGGGAGCGAACA
rnacentral:rRNA from 1 species